CUCUUCUUGGUAAAAUAGGAGGUAUGGUCUGCCCAAUGAUGAAUUAAAUGGCCGCGGUAUUUUGACCGUGCAAAGGUAGCAUAAUCAUUAGUCUUUUAAUUGGAGGCUGGAAUGAACGGCUGGACGAAAUAAUAACUAUCUUAAUUUUAUUAAUUUUGAAUUUAAUUUUUAAGUUAAAAAGCUUAAAUUUUUUUUUGGGACGAGAAGACCCUAUAGAGUUUAUAUAUUUAAAUUAGUCGAUUAGGUUUGUUAAUUUAUAGAUAAUAAAAAGUAUUUUGUUGGGGUGAUAAAAAGAUAAACGUAACUCUUUUUAUAAUUUAUAUAUAUAUAAAUAAUUUAUGAAUUGAUCCACGACUGGUGAUUGAAAGACUAAAUUACC
rnacentral:rRNA from 1 species